rnacentral:tRNA from 1 species
GCCCAUUUGUCUCAGUGGGAGAGCACUCCCUUGGUAAGGGAGAGGUCCCGGGUCCGAUUCCCGGAAUGGGCACCA